rnacentral:rRNA from 1 species
UGGGGAAUAUUGGACAAUGGGCGGAAGCCUGAUCCAGCCAUGCCGCGUGUGUGAAGAAGGCCUUUUGGUUGUAAAGCACUUUAAGCGAGGAGGAGGCUACUUGGAUUAAUACUCUAGGAUAGUGGACGUUACUCGCAGAAUAAGCACCGGCUAACUCUGUGCCAGCAGCCGCGGUAAUACAGAGGGUGCGAGCGUUAAUCGGAUUUACUGGGCGUAAAGCGUGCGUAGGCGGCUUCUUAAGUCGGAUGUGAAAUCCCUGAGCUUAACUUAGGAAUUGCAUUCGAUACUGGGAAGCUAGAGUAUGGGAGAGGAUGGUAGAAUUCCAGGUGUAGCGGUGAAAUGCGUAGAGGUCUGGAGGAAUACCGAUGGCGAAGGCAGCCAUCUGGCCUAAUACUGACGCUGAGGUACGAAAGCAUGGGGAGCAAACAGG